rnacentral:rRNA from 1 species
UACGUAGGGUGCAAGCGUUAAUCGGAAUUACUGGGCGUAAAGCGUGCGCAGGCGGUUUUGUAAGUCUGUCGUGAAAUCCCCGGGCUCAACCCUGGAAUGCCGGUGGAUACUGUCGGGCUCGAAUCCGGAAGAGGUGAGUGGAAUUCCUGGUGUAGCGGUGGAAUGCGCAGAUAUCAGGAGGAACACCGAUGGCGAAGGCAGUUCUCUGGGCCGUAACUGACGCUGAGGAGCGAAAGCGUGGGGAGCGAACAGG